UUUUCUAGCAGACAGAAUGGUGAAGGGACUCAGGAGAAAAGCAUAGGAAUGCUACUCCCAGUACUGUUCCCCAGCACCUGCCAUCUAAAGCAGCUGACUCACCUUUAUGAUAGACAAUUUGGCAAAAUGAUCUGCUUGAGGAAGACAUGCGGCCCAGCCAAGAGCUUGGCAAGCUUACUGAUUGGGGUGAAAAUACUGUUGUGUUAUAUUCCUGGAUAAUGCUGAAUUCAGAAUUCAGUUUCACAGCUGAGGCAUGAUUGUAGUUUUCAAAACAACUGGGCCCCAAACACCAAAUCCUUUCUGUAAUUACUGAGUUGUCCUCUGCAAAGAAGAUGUUCUGUUUGUUAGAAUCAGAAAACAUGAAUUGAUGUAAACAGUAAGCUAAACCACAACUGCAUGUGAUGUUGACAGAGGUAGCAUACUCUUUUCUGUAAGCAACUAUUUAAUGAUAUGUAAACUGCAUCGUGUUUUUAGUCCUCCUUCCCAUCUUCCUCCUUGGAAAUCAGUUGUUAUCCGUUCCCCUUUGUGAGGUAGCCACAUAUUGGCUGUCUUCCGUAAUGGUGAUCAAGAGUACCUCUAUGCACGGAAGCCAGCUU